rnacentral:lncRNA from 1 species
UCUCAGUCUGCCAGUAACUGGGAUCCUGGCAUUUAUCCUGGAGGUCCCUGAAGGUCCAAGAGGGAACAGAGGAAAUCUGAUUGGCACAGGCCCAUUUCUGCCUCGGUUGCCUGCCUCCAACCACAAUCCAGUUUUUUGGCUCCCAGAGACAGACAUGCCCAGAUCUGAACACCACCCACCUGGAUAAAGAAAAUGGGUACGGCCAAGACCAUAGACCUAGUGAUUGUCAGAUGAACAAUUAGACCCACAGAACCAUCCAAGCUACAGAGGACGCAUUCUGCCUUCCCUUGGAUCCUGUGGUUUGAGGAUGGAGGUCUAGGACCGUGGCAGGCUUUUUGUCCCAUGAGGGAAGGCCAUGGAGCUGAGGAAGGGGAAGAACACACACACCUAAUGGAAUCUCGAGAGAAAGUUCAGACAUCAAAAGACAGAAGCGACAGAGACCCAGAUGGAGUCUCACCCAGCCUGGAGUACAGUAGUAUGAUC